rnacentral:rRNA from 1 species
AUUGAACGCUGGCGGCAUGCUUUACACAUGCAAGUCGAACGGCAGCACGGACUUCGGUCUGGUGGCGAGUGGCGAACGGGUGAGUAAUACAUCGGAACGUGCCCAGUUGUGGGGGAUAACUACUCGAAAGAGUAGCUAAUACCGCAUGAGAACUGAGGUUGAAAGCAGGGGAUCGUAAGACCUUGCGCAACUGGAGCGGCCGAUGGCAGAUUAGGUAGUUGGUGGGGUAAAAGCUUACCAAGCCGACGAUCUGUAGCUGGUCUGAGAGGACGACCAGCCACACUGGGACUGAGACACGGCCCAGACUCCUACGGGAGGCAGCAGUGGGGAAUUUUGGACAUUGGGCGAAAGCCUGAUCCAGCAAUGCCGCGUGCAGGAUGAAGGCCUUCGGGUUGUAAACUGCUUUUGUACGGAACGAAAAGCUUCGGGUUAAUACCCUGGAGUCAUGACGGUACCGUAAGAAUAAGCACCGGCUAACUACGUGCCAGCCGCCGCCGUAA